ACUACGGGGUGCAGCAGUGGGGAAUAUUGCACAAUGGGGGAAACCCUGAUGCAGCGACGCCGCGUGAGUGAAGAAGUAUCUCGGUACGUAAAGCUCUAUCAGCAGGGAAGAAAAUGACGGUACAUGACUACGAAGCCCCGGCUAACUACGUGCCAGCAGCCGCGGUAAUACGUAGGGGGCAAGCGUUAUCCGGCUUUACUGGGUGUAAAGGGAGCGUAGACGGAGAAACAAGUCUGGAGUGAAAUCCUGGGGCUUAACCCCGGAACUGCUUUGGAAAAUGUGCGGCUGGAGUGCAGGAGGGGUAAGCGGAAUUCCUAGUGUAGCGGUGAAAUGCGUAGAGAUUAGGAGGAACACCGGUGGCGAAGGCGGCUUACUGGACUGUAACUGACGUUGAGGCUCGAAAGCGUGGGGAGCAAACAGGAUUAGAUACCCUAGUAGUC
rnacentral:rRNA from 1 species